CCAUAAAAUCCAAUAGAAAAAUAACAUGUGCAUAAUUUAAUCCAUUUUUGAUAUUUUUUCACGAUUCACGCGCAUUUAAGAAUGAAUAGUUAUUUUUACUGCCGCAUCAGCUUUUGAAAGAAAUCAAAUUCACUUUGUACAAGUAUAAAUCAGCUUUUGAAAGAUAUCAAAUUCACUUUGUAGUACAAGUAUAAAGAAGUAAUGAGACGCCCGUAAAAAUUGUGUGAAAGUUGUCAUUAGAGAGUUGUUGAAAUAGUGGUUGUGCAGGGAAAAUAGGAAUAUAGAAAGACUUAGGUUAAAAUAAUUCAGAAAAAGAGAGUCAAGUAAACUAAUGAUAUAAUAAUUUCUUCCGUACAGCAUAUUACAGCUAUGGUAAGGUGAAAGAUGUCAUCUCUAAUGAAGAGCUCAAGAAGCUAUCAUCUGUCUCCCUUUAACAUUCUCUCUUAAAAAAGUUGCAGAUGGCAGAUACAGCGAUAAAUUUUCUGUUGGAGAAACUAUUGCAGGUAUUGAGUGAAGAUGUUCGGCUGAUAGCAGGUGUACAGGAAGAGUUUCAAGAUCUGCUCGAACAAGUACAAAUUCUAAAUGCCUUCAUAAAUGAUUUUUCAAAGUUGGUGAGGAAAAGUAUUAUGUGGAAAGAAAUGGAAAAGGCCAUUCUGACUACAGUAUUUAGAACUGAGGAUAUCAUUGACGAAUUCUUGGUUGAGGCGAGGCUUAACCAAGAGAAAAAUAUUCUUAGAAAGGCCUUCCAUUUUGCUCACAACACGGUUAGACACCGGGAUCUUUCAAUAAAGAUCAAAGACAUCAUUGAAGAGAUGAAGAAAAUUCCCCGCGGAGACAAGCAAGCUCUUUCGCCCGCAGAAAAUCUUCAACUUGAAAUUGAAUCUGUAAAAGGUUCCGAGGAGCCGAAGGAUAUUUCUUUGGAGGAUGACGAAGUGGUCGGUUUUGAUGAGGAAGCACAAAGACUGAUCAAGCGACUUACUGAAGGAUCCGAAGAUCUGGAUAUUAUUCCCAUUGUGGGUAUGCCGGGACUCGGCAAAACCACAUUGGCAAGAAAAAUUUAUAAUGAUCCUCGAAUUUCAUAUGAGUUUUUCAGCAAAAUUUGGAUUCAUGUCGGCCAGCUAUACAAGAUAAAGGAUGUCUUUCUUAGAAUUCUCAAUAGGUUCAGGAGAAACAUUAAGGAAUAUCAAGAUAUGGAUGCGAAUGAAUUAGCUAAGUUAAUAUGUUCAUUUGUGGCUAAAGGAGGUAAAUGUCUCAUUGUCUUAGACGACGUGUGGGAAUCAGAAGUUGUGGAUUCUGUAAUGAAAGUUUUUCCGAGAAACUGGGUUGGACACCGAAUCAUUAUGACCACUCGCUUAGGAUAUGUUGCUACCUAUGCCAAUGAAAAUCCUCAUUAUCUGAAAUUUCUGAGUCAAAAUGAAAGUUUUGAGUUGUUGAAAAUGAAUGUUUUUGGCAGGAGAAGUUGUCCCCAUGAGUUACUAAGAGUUGGAGAAAGCAUUGCAAAAAAAUGUAGUGGAUUACCACUUUCGAUAGUGAUGAUUGCCGGUGCAUUAAGAGCAAGAACGAAUAAAGUUGAUUGGGUACGAGUUGACAAAAAUAUGGGGGAAUAUCUUAUUAAUAAAGAUGAUGCUACAAGCUGCUUGAAUAUUAUAAAGGUGAGUUAUGAUAGUCUACCCCAAGAGAUGCAGUCAUGCUUCUUGUACUGUGGUGUCUUUCCUCGAGGUUUUGAUAUCCCUAUUUGGAAACUGAUUCGCUUGUGGAUUGCCGAGGGCUUAAUAAAGUCCAAACCAGCAUUCACCCUUGAAGAGACAGCACAGUAUUAUUUGAACGGCCUUGUCGACAGAAAUUUAGUGAUGGUGAUGCAGAAGAAGUCCGAUGGCAAAAUAAAAACAUGCCGUGUUCAGGACUUGUUGCACGAGUUCUGUAAAAAGGAGGCUAGUGAAAAAUGGUUUUUCCAAGAAGUAUGUCCAGCACUUGAUCAGGCUAUUAUUUCUAUACAUGAUCGAAGCAUGUCUCGUCGAUUGUGUGUUCAGCCCUCUGCUCUGCAGGAUUUUCUCUCCACAAGACCAUUCGUAGAGCAUGUGAGAUCUUUUUAUUGUUUUUCCACAAGACAAACACAAAUCGAGUUGCCUCCUAGUAACAUCAGAUCUAUCUGCAGAUCAUUUCCAUUGAUUAGGGUCUUGGACAUUGAGUCCUUAAAAUUUUUAUUCUCCAGGGAUUUUUACCAACUAUUUCACUUGAGGUAUAUUGCUAUUUCAGGCGACUUCAUGGCCCUUCCAUCUGCCUUCGGUAAAUUUUGGAAUUUACAAACCCUUAUAUUAAGUACAUCGGCUCCAAUUCUUGAAAUAAAAGCAGAUAUAUGGAACAUGUUAAGGUUAAGGCAUAUACACACCAAUGUUCCUGCAAAAUUGCCAUCUCCAUCUACCUCUACAGGUAAAGCUUCUAGCCUUCAAACUCUUUCUCAGGUUGCAUCACAGUGUUGCAGGAAAAAUGUCCUUGCAAAGGCUUGUCAUCUAAAAAAAUUAAGUGUUCGAGGGCCAAUGAAGUCUUUUCUUGAAACUAACUGCGUCAAUCUUGAAGAACUGAAGUUCCUGGAAGAACUGAAACUGUUGAAUGAUUUUCUUUACUCGGGUGAAGUGCUUCGCAUUCCUGUAGCAUUCUUUACAUUUGUUCGCACAUUGAAGAAGUUAACUUUGUCAAACACAAAGUUUGAUUGGAGUGAGGCAAGUAGGUUAGGGCAGUUGGAAUGCCUUGAGGUCCUAAAACUUAAACAAAAUGCAUUCACAGGAGAGUCCUGGAGGCCAGAGGUAGGAGGUUUUUUUGAACUCCGGGUUCUGUGGAUUGAAAUGGAAGACUUAAAACUUUGGGAGGCUUCAGAACUUCAUUUCCCAAGACUUAGGCACCUUGUUCUUAUAUCUUGUGAUAAACUCGAGGCUGUGCCAUAUGAGCUUGCUAGUAUACACAGCUUUCAAGAGAUGAGGCUGGAGAACACAAUCAAAGCAGUCAAAUCAGCAAGAGAAAUACAACGCAAGAAGCUGGAAAGCAUCAAUUUCAAGCUCACCAUAUUCCCUCCUGAUUCUGAUGAUUCGAAGGCUACACAGUGAAAGGAGGUCGCUGGUUCAAGCCUUGGAAAUAGCCUUUUGCAGAAAUGCAAGGGGAGAUCCAGGAAUUAUGUUACCCUUAGAUAAUUAAGGAGUCACUGCAUAUCUUGUUUUCUGCAGUCUGUUGAUGUGAUUGACUUCAUUCCAAUAAAGAACCUGGUUUGUGUUUAUUUUUUCAAGCAUUGUGGAGUUUAAAAUAGCUUCGGUUUUCUUAUUGGUGUGCUUCCCAACCUCGUUACCUUCUUGAAGGUAGGGAUAAGGUUUGCGUACAUUUACCCUCCCCAGACUCCACUUGUGAGAUUACACUGGGUUUUUUGUUGUUGUUGUUGUAGUAUUGUGAAGUUUAAAAUAGUCUAUAUGUGGUUACAUUUCCUUUAUUUUCUUUCUAGAGUUGUAAUAAAACUGUGUUCAUCUUUCCAUUUC